UGGGGAAUAUUGCACAAUGGGCGAAAGCCUGAUGCAGCAACGCCGCGUGAGUGAUGAAGGCCUUCGGGUUGUAAAGCUCUGUCUUCUGGGACGAUAAUGACGGUACCAGAGGAGGAAGCCACGGCUAACUACGUGCCAGCAGCCGCGGUAAUACGUAGGUGGCAAGCGUUGUCCGGAUUUACUGGGCGUACAGGAUGCGUAGGCGGAUACUUAAGUCAGAUGUGAAAAUCCCGGGCUUAACUUGGGAACUGCAUUUGAAACUGGGUAUCUAGAGUGCGGGAGAGGAAAGUGGAAUUCCUAGUGUAGCGGUAAAAUGCGUAGAGAUUAGGAAGAACACCAGUGGCGAAGGCGACUUUCUGGACCGUAACUGACGCUGAGGCAUGAAAGCGUGGGGAGCAAACA
rnacentral:rRNA from 1 species